rnacentral:rRNA from 1 species
GAUGAACGCUAGCGGCAGGCCUAACACAUGCAAGUCGAGGGGUAGAAGUUGCUUGCAACUUUGAGACCGGCGCACGGGUGCGUAACGCGUAUGCAAUCUACCUUGUACAGAGGGAUAGCCCAGAGAAAUUUGGAUUAAUACCUCAUAGUAUUUUCAAGUGGCAUCAUUUGAUUAUUAAAGUUCCAACGGUACAAGAUGAGCAUGCGUCCUAUUAGCUAGAUGGUAAGGUAACGGCUUACCAUGGCUACGAUAGGUAGGGGUCCUGAGAGGGAGAUCCCCCACACUGGUACUGAGACACGGACCAGACUCCUACGGGAGGCAGCAGUGAGGAAUAUUGGUCAAUGGGCGCAAGCCUGAACCAGCCAUGCCGCGUGCAGGAAGGCGGUCCUAUGGAUUGUAAACUGCUUUUGUACGGGAAGAAACACUCCCUCGUGAGGGAGCUUGACGGUACCGUAAGAAUAAGGAUCGGCUAACUCCGUGCCAGCCGCCGCCGUAAGAC